rnacentral:rRNA from 1 species
GACGAACGCUGGCGGCGUGCUUAACACAUGCAAGUCGAACGGAAAGGCCCUGCUUUUGUGGGGUGCUCGAGUGGCGAACGGGUGAGUAACACGUGAGUAACCUGCCCUUGACUUUGGGAUAACUUCAGGAAACUGGGGCUAAUACCGGAUAGGAGCUCCUGCUGCAUGGUGGGGGUUGGAAAGUUUCGGCGGUUGGGGAUGGACUCGCGGCUUAUCAGCUUGUUGGUGGGGUAGUGGCUUACCAAGGCUUUGACGGGUAGCCGGCCUGAGAGGGUGACCGGCCACAUUGGGACUGCGAUACGGCCCCGACUCCUACGGGAGGCAGCAGUGGGGAAUAUUGCACAAUGGGCGGAAGCCUGAUGCAGCAACGCCGCGUGCGGGAUGACGGCCUUCGGGUUGUAAACCGCUUUCGCCUGUGACGAAGCGUGAGUGACGGUAAUGGGUAAAGAAGCACCGGCUAACUACGUG